CGAACUGCUGAAGUCGUCGCCUAGAGGGGUUAUUAGAAGAGAAGAGAACUAUAAACAGGACGACUUGCUGUUUAGGCUUUAGCUGAUAAUGAUAUUCGACGUGCAAAAAUCCUGGAAGCUCUGAAAGCAGAAAAAAUAAGAUCUAGCUGAGAUUCAGAGGAGACGUGCCCUGAAGGUGAACCACACUCUCAAGAUCACGACUCAAUUUGUCUUCCCCUGUUGAGGGAUAUCCGAUUGCAUCCGAGGAGAGCACGUCGCUGUACACGCCUCUUCCGACAUGUGCACAGCCCUCCUCUUCUCACGCCUGCAUUCUGCAUAGGCGCCUCUUCCGCCAAUCAGGGUCCUUACACAGCGUAUGAAGACCCACCCACACAUAGUCCGGCCCCCACCCUGCAGAUACGGUGGCCAAUUAGUAUCUGCCGCAGGCACUGCCGAUUAUGCCCGCCAGUGGCAACGCUGAGUUUCAAACUGAGGAGUUCAGAAUCUUGGUGCUGGUGUGCUAGCGGAAUAUCCCGCUGCGCCACCUGGGCGCCCAAAAGUGGAACACUUUUUAAAAGUGAAAAACAGAUAAUAAUCAUUUCGUUUAGACUUGGGUGUAACUUCUUUUUCUGCUAGUUUGGACUACGUUUUUU